rnacentral:lncRNA from 1 species
CCGUUGUUGAAGUCCUCAACCUUCCGCUCGCUCAUGGCUCAGAGGUGGGGUGGACAACAAAAUUGACUUUUAAUGAAGAGUGGUUACUGAACCUAACAGCAAGAAACUUGUGUACAGAAGCAAAGCAAAGGCAAUUAGCCCAGUUGUGACCAUUUUGUAACUUAGCAUACCGUGGUGGCCUUGAUCAGAUUUCACUGCAGCUGAAGAAAACAGAAAUUAUUUUCUGUACCUACUGAUUAUCCCUUAGAACAUGAGAGGCUGCAUUUACAGUAACUAGAGGAAGACAUAGAGGUAAUCUGGAAUCUACUUGUCACAGUUUGUAGAUUUUAUGAUGCAAUUUUUGUCCAGUAAUUUUAGCAAAAACAUAUUGAAGAUGUAUAUUGUCCUGAUGAGAACUGGAGCGAGAUGGUGGAGAAAGGAGCCAUCUAAGAUUCAUGCAAUGGAUUUUCAAAUCCAAUGACUGUUUAUGAAAAUAAUUUUGUACCCUCAGCAUCUAUGUUCAAUGCAGCUGAAAUCUUCCCAGAGCGAAGAAAUGCAUCAAAAAAGAAAAAGGAAAUGAAGAAAGAGGGAAGAAAAGAGAAAAAAGAAAGGAAACAGAUUUUACUUUUAGCUCAUCUUCAGAUUUGCAAGAGACAAUAAGUGAGAUUCAUUAGGCCAUUUGUUUCUGUCAUCUGCCAUGAUUCAAAAUGAAAUACUAAAUGUUUCAUGGACUCAGAAAAAGAGGAAAAUUUGUCUUUGUGUUGGCUGUGUGAAGACGGUGUGUCUUCCAGCCCCAUCCGAGGGGUCUGACGGAUGAAGGGGGAAGGGUGGUACCGUCUGAGUGAUGAUGGGCUAAUAUCAUCACCCUCUUGUCAGCUGUAAUAGGCUUUUCCUCACAGAAAUAAUUCAUAAAACCACUACAUUAUAUUCUAUCCCUGACAGCCCCUAUCUAUCCUCCAACCCAGCAGGCUUACAACUAAUAAGAAAAUAUGUGGUUCAGGAACCUUGAAAAAUUAAAC